CCUACGGGUGGCAGCAGUGGGGAAUAUUGCACAAUGGGCGAAACCCUGAUGCAGCGACGCCGCGUGAGCGAUGAAGUAUUUCGGUAUGUAAAGCUCUAUCAGCAGGGAAGAAAAUGACGGUACCUAACUAAGAAGCCCCGGCUAACUACGUGCCAGCAGCCGCGGUAAUACGUAGGGGGCCAGCGUUAUCCGGAUUUAUUGGGCGUAAAGGGAGCGUAGACGGUCCGGCAAGCCAGAUGUGAAAGCCCGGGGCUCAACCCGGGGACUGCAUUUGAAACUGGAAGGCUGGAGUGUCGGAGAGGCAGGCGGAAUUCCUGGUGUAGCGGUGAAAUGCGUAGAUAUUAGGAGGAACACCAGUGGCGAAGGCGGCCUGCUGGACGGUAACUGACGUUGAGGCUCGAAAGCGUGGGGAGCAAACAGGAUUAGAUACCCGAGUAGUC
rnacentral:rRNA from 1 species